ACACCCUCGGAUUGACGUGCGCACGCGCACCGGUUACCUUCAGGAGCGCCGAAGAAGGAAAGAAGACUGCCAGCUCCGUGACAGCAAGAACCUUGUAUGACUUUUUCAUGAUGGAUGUUCAUCUGUGCCAUCUGUAAAUAUUGAAUAAAUAUUUGUGGAAUACAUGAAUCUAAAAGUGAAUGGAAUGAUAAAGAGGGAAAGGGUCAUGACAUCUACUACAGCAUUUGGCACAGACCCAGGUUUCCCUGGUACUGGUAAUUCCCAGCAGCUUUCUACAAUUCCAAAGACCUCCCUGCUCCAGAAGCAAGGGGGCAGCCACAGCCCCACAGCCUCUAGCUGCUGGCUGCUCAGGGCACGCAGGCUUGCUAUUGACAAGUCUGAAUCAUGACUGAUGAAGGGAGUGCUCUCUCCCUAGAAAACAACUUGGCAACUUUCUACUUCAAACCCAGGCUCACUACAGAAUUUCUUACCACAAUGACUUUCUUGGCAGCUGUCUGCAGUACUAUCAAGAGAUGACAUGGACUUCAAGGAUCAAACAGGGGAGAAAAAGGCUUAAAAGAAAAACAAGUCUCCAUCAAAGGUAAUAACCACAAUGAGAACUAUACAUAGCUAUGUGCUUAUAGGUCUUAGUUCACAUUCCCCUCAUUAAAAUUAUAGCUCAAGAAAUAAAGGGCUGUUUAAUGACUUGGGUAUAUAAAUAUACUUCAUUUGUAUAUUUUUUACUUGCUAAAAUCUAUCCAAAUUGGUAUUACCUCAAACCAUAAUCUUCUACUGUAUUUUAUAAUUUUACUUUAUUGCCAUGUAUUUUUCCCACUGAUGUUCACAAAUUCACAGGAAACAUCAGCCAUGUACUAAAUAAAAUAUGAAUUGAAUCGACAAA
rnacentral:lncRNA from 1 species